UACGAAGGGGGCUAGCGUUGCUCGGAAUCACUGGGCGUAAAGGGUGCGUAGGCGGGUUCUUAAGUCAGAGGUGAAAUCCUGGAGCUCAACUCCAGAACUGCCUUUGAUACUGAGAGUCUUGAGUUCGGGAGAGGUGAGUGGAACUGCGAGUGCAGAGGUGAAAUUCGUAGAUAUUCGCAAGAACACCAGUGGCGAAGGCGGCUCACUGGCCCGAUACCUGACGCUGAUGCACGAAAGCGUGGGGAGCAAA
rnacentral:rRNA from 1 species